UGAACGCUGGCGGUAUGCUUAACACAUGCAAGUCGAACGGAAACGAUACUAGCUUGCUAGUAGGCGUCGAGUGGCGGACGGGUGAGUAACGCGUAGGAAUCUGCCUGAUAGUGGGGGAUAGCCCGAAGAAAUUCGGAUUAAUACCGCAUAAUCUAUUCGUAGUAAAGUGGGGGACUUUCGAGCCUCACGCUAUCAGAUGAGCCUGCGUAAGAUUAGCUUGUUGGUAGGGUAAAAGCCUACCAAGGCGACGAUCUUUAGCUGGUCUGAGAGGAUGAUCAGCCACAUCGGGACUGAGACACGGCCCGAACUCCUACGGGAGGCAGCAGUGGGGAAUAUUGGACAAUGGGGGCAACCCUGAUCCAGCAAUACCGCGUGUGUGAAGAAGGCCUGAGGGUUGUAAAGCACUUUCAAUUGUGAAGAAAAGUUAGCGGUUAAUAACCGUUAGCCUUGACGUUAACUUUAGAAGAAGCACCGGCUAACUCCGUGCCAGCAGCCGCGGUAAUACGGAGGGUGCAAGCGUUAAUCGGAAUUACUGGGCGUAAAGCGUGCGUAGGCGGUUUAUUAAGUCAGAUGUGAAAGCCCCGGGCUUAACCUGGGAACUGCAUUUGAAACUGGUCAACUAGAGUAUGGUAGAGGAAAGUGGAAUUUCUGGUGUAGCGAUGAAAUGCGUAGAUAUCAGAAGGAACAUCAAUGGCGAAGGCAGCUUUCUGGACCAAUACUGACGCUGAGGUACGAAAGCGUGGGUAGCAAACAGGAUUAGAUACCCUGGUAGUCCACGCCGUAAACGAUGAUAACUAGCCGUUGGGGGGAUUUACCCUUUAGUGGCGAAGCUAACGCGUUAAGUUAUCCGCCUGGGGAGUACGGCCGCAAGGUUAAAACUCAAAGGAAUUGACGGGGACCCGCACAAGCGGUGGAGCAUGUGGUUUAAUUCGAUGCAACGCGAAGAACCUUACCUGGUCUUGACAUCCUGCGAACUUUCUAGAAAUAGAUUGGUGCCUUCGGGAACGCAGUGACAGGUGCUGCAUGGCUGUCGUCAGCUCGUGUCGUGAGAUGUUGGGUUAAGUCCCGUAACGAGCGCAACCCCUAUCCUUAUUUGCCAGCACAUCAUGGUGGGAACUAUAAGGAGACUGCCGGUGAUAAACCGGAGGAAGGCGGGGACGACGUCAAGUCAUCAUGGCCCUUACGACCAGGGCUACACACGUGCUACAAUGGGAAGGACAAAGAGCCGCGAAGCCGCGAGGUGUAGCUAAUCUCAUAAACCUUUUCGUAGUCCGGAUUGGAGUCUGCAACUCGACUCCAUGAAGUCGGAAUCGCUAGUAAUCGUAGAUCAGAAUGCUACGGUGAAUACGUUCCCGGGUCUUGUACUCACCGCCCG
rnacentral:rRNA from 1 species